AUGGAGACAAACCUUGGAAUCCAAAGGUUUAGACUUAGUAGAACUAAAACCGAGUACAUGAGGUGCGGUUUCAGUACUACUAGGCACGAGGAGGAGGGGGUUAGCCUUGAUGGGCAGGUGGUGCCUCAGAAGGACAUCUUUAGAUAUCUGGGGUCUAUGCUACAGAAGGAUGGGGAUAUCGAUGAAGAUGUGAAUCAUCGAAUCAAAGCCGGAUGGAUGAAGUGGCACCAAGCUUCUGGCAUUCUCUGUGACAAGAGAGUGCCACAAAAGCUAAAAGACAAGUUCUAUAGGACGGCGGUUCGACCAGCUAUGUUAUAUGGCGUUGAGUGUUGGCCGACUAAAAGGUGA
rnacentral:rRNA from 1 species